CAGGGGGCAGUUUAAGCAGAAUUUUGGCUUUGGAGGCCAAAGGUAGGAGUUUAACUCUCUUUCCCCUGA
rnacentral:tRNA from 1 species